rnacentral:rRNA from 1 species
GAAAGGAUACUUCUUCGGACAAUAUACAAGGUGCUGCAUGGUUGUCGUCAGCUCGUGCCGUGAGGUGUCGGGUUAAGUCCCAUAACGAGCGCAACCCCUAUCAUUAGUUGCCAUCAGGUCAAGCUGGGGACUCUAAUGAAACUGCCUACGCAAGUAGUGAGGAAGGUGGGGAUGACGUCAAAUCAGCACGGCCCUUACGUCCAGGGCUACACACGUGCUACAAUGGCCGAUACAGAGGGCAGCUACCUGGUGACAGGAUGCAAAUCUCCAAAGUCGGUCUCAGUUCGGAUCGGAGUCUGCAACCCGACUCCGUGAAGUUGGAUUCGCUAGUAAUCGCGCAUCAGCCAUGGCGCGGUGAAUACGUUCCCGGGCCUU